GGCCCGCUAGCUCAAUGGUAGAGCAGUUGCCUUUUAAGCAAUUGGUUACAGGUUCGAAUCCUGUGCGGGUCA
rnacentral:tRNA from 1 species